CGGGGCGUGGCGCAGCCUGGUAGCGCGUUGCCUUUGGGUGGCAAAGGUCCCCGGUUCAAAUCCGGGCGCCCCGA
rnacentral:tRNA from 1 species